rnacentral:rRNA from 1 species
AUGAACGCUAGCUACAGGCUUAACACAUGCAAGUCGAGGGGCAGCAUGGUCUUAGCUUGCUAAGGCUGAUGGCGACCGGCGCACGGGUGAGUAACACGUAUCCAACCUGCCGUCUACUCUUGGACAGCCUUCUGAAAGGAAGAUUAAUACAAGAUGGCAUCAUGAGUCCGCAUGUUCACAUGAUUAAAGGUAUUCCGGUAGACGAUGGGGAUGCGUUCCAUUAGAUAGUAGGCGGGGUAACGGCCCACCUAGUCUUCGAUGGAUAGGGGUUCUGAGAGGAAGGUCCCCCACAUUGGAACUGAGACACGGUCCAAACUCCUACGGGAGGCAGCAGUGAGGAAUAUUGGUCAAUGGGCGAGAGCCUGAACCAGCCAAGUAGCGUGAAGGAUGACUGCCCUAUGGGUUGUAAACUUCUUUUAUAAAGGAAUAAAGUCGGGUAUGGAUACCCGUUUGCAUGUACUUUAUGAAUAAGGAUCGGCUAACUCCGUGCCAGCAGCCGCGGUAAUACGGAGGAUCCGAGCGUUAUCCGGAUUUAUUGGGUUUAAAGGGAGCGUAGAUGGAUGUUUAAGUCAGUUGUGAAAGUUUGCGGCUCAACCGUAAAAUUGCAGUUGAUACUGGAUAUCUUGAGUGCAGUUGAGGCAGGCGGAAUUCGUGGUGUAGCGGUGAAAUGCUUAGAUAUCACGAAGAACUCCGAUUGCGAAGGCAGCCUGCUAAGCUGCAACUGACAUUGAGGCUCGAAAGUGUGGGUAUCAAACAGGAUUAGAUACCCUGGUAGUCCACACGGUAAACGAUGAAUACUCGCUGUUUGCGAUAUACUGCAAGCGGCCAAGCGAAAGCGUUAAGUAUUCCACCUGGGGAGUACGCCGGCAACGGUGAAACUCAAAGGAAUUGACGGGGGCCCGCACAAGCGGUGGAGCAUGUGGUUUAAUUCGAAGCAACGCGAAGAACCUUACCAGGUCUUGACAUCCCGAUGCUAUUUCUAGAGAUAGGAAGUUACUUCGGUACAUCGGUGACAGGUGGUGCAUGGUUGUCGUCAGCUCGUGCCGUGAGGUGUCGGCUUAAGUGCCAUAACGAGCGCAACCCUUGUUGUCAGUUACUAACAGGUUCCGCUGAGGACUCUGACAAGACUGCCAUCGUAAGAUGUGAGGAAGGUGGGGAUGACGUCAAAUCAGCACGGCCCUUACGUCCGGGGCUACACACGUGUUACAAUGGGGGGUACAGAGGGCCGCUACCACGCGAGUGGAUGCCAAUCCCCAAAACCUCUCUCAGUUCGGACUGGAGUCUGCAACCCGACUCCACGAAGCUGGAUUCGCUAGUAAUCGCGCAUCAGCCACGGCGCGGUGAAUACGUUCCCGGGCCUUGUACACACCGCCCGUCAAGCCAUGGGAGCCGGGGGUACCUGAAGUGCGUAACCGCGAGGAGCGCCCUAGGGUAAAACUGGUGACUGGGGCU